rnacentral:rRNA from 1 species
AUUGAACGCUGGCGGCAUGCCUUACACAUGCAAGUCGAACGGCAGCGGACCUUCGGGUGCCGGCGAGUGGCGAACGGGUGAGUAAUAUAUCGGAACGUACCUUUCAGUGGGGGAUAACGUAGCGAAAGUUACGCUAAUACCGCAUAUUCUGUGAGCAGGAAAGCAGGGGAUCGCAAGACCUUGCGCUGAUUGAGCGGCCGAUGUCAGAUUAGCUAGUUGGUAGGGUAAAGGCCUACCAAGGCGACGAUCUGUAGCGGGUCUGAGAGGAUGAUCCGCCACACUGGGACUGAGACACGGCCUAGACUCCUACGGGAGGCAGCAGUGGGGAAUUUUGGACAAUGGGGGAAACCCUGAUCCAGCCAUGCCGCGUGAGUGAAGAAGGCCUCGG